rnacentral:rRNA from 1 species
AUUGAACGCUGGCGGCAGGCCUAACACAUGCAAGUCGAGCGGAUGAAGGGAGCUUGCUCCUGGAUUCAGCGGCGGACGGGUGAGUAAUGCCUAGGAAUCUGCCUGGUAGUGGGGGAUAACGUCCGGAAACGGGCGCUAAUACCGCAUACGUCCUGAGGGAGAAAGUGGGGGAUCUUCGGACCUCACGCUAUCAGAUGAGCCUAGGUCGGAUUAGCUAGUUGGUGGGGUAAAGGCCUACCAAGGCGACGAUCCGUAACUGGUCUGAGAGGAUGAUCAGUCACACUGGAACUUAGACACGGUCCAGACUCCUACGGGAGGCAGCAGUGGGGAAUAUUGGACAAUGGGCGAAAGCCUGAUCCAGCCAUACCGCGUGUGUGAAGAAGGUCUUCGGAUUGUAAAGCACUUUAAGUUGGGAGGAAGGGCAGUAAGUUAAUACCUUGCUGUUUUGACGUUACCAACAGAAUAAGCACCGGCUAACUUCGUG